AUUGAACGCUGGCGGCAUGCCUUACACAUGCAAGUCGAACGGUAACAGGUCUUCGGAUGCUGACGAGUGGCGAACGGGUGAGUAAUACAUCGGGAACGUGCCCGAUCGUGGGGGAUAACGGAGCGAAAGCUUUGCUAAUACCGCAUACGAUCUACGGAUGAAAGCAGGGGACCGCAAGGCCUUGCGCGGACGGAGCGGCCGAUGGCAGAUUAGGUAGUUGGUGGGAUAAAAGCUUACCAAGCCGACGAUCUGUAGCUGGUCUGAGAGGACGACCAGCCACACUGGGACUGAGACACGGCCCAGACUCCUACGGGAGGCAGCAGUGGGGAAUUUUGGACAAUGGGCGCAAGCCUGAUCCAGCCAUGCCGCGUGCAGGAUGAAGGCCUUCGGGUUGUAAACUGCUUUUGUACGGAACGAAAAGACUCUUUCUAAUAAAGAGGGUCCAUGACGGUACCGUAAGAAUAAGCACCGGCUAACUACGUG
rnacentral:rRNA from 1 species